GUUGGAUCUUCAGUCAACUCUUCUUCUUCUUCCUUUCUUGGAGCGAUUCCGGUGAGAUGUUGAUUGUUGACGGUGAAGGUGUCGUGAAUCGGUUACGGUGGUUGAAGAUUCUACGAGGAUGAUCGGAGGUUGGUACAGUGAAUGUGGUUGAAGAACCGAGGUGGAAGAGGAGGUUGAAGUGGUGGCUUAGCUCUGCCGUGUGGAGCUUCGAAUGAUGAAGCUCCCACAACAAUGGAGGAUGAGCGUGUGCUGAAGGUGAGGAUUGAGUGCAGAAGCUUCUGGGAAUCAGGAAAAAAUCGUUCGAACCCAAUGAUUGGCAAUGAUUGCAGCUUAUAUAGCACAAUCCCAAGGGUAAAUUGGAGAAUUAAGUAUGAAUCAUCCAGCUGGCACCUGAGUGAACGAGAAGGUUUUCUUGGUUUUGAUCUCUUGGCUUUUCACGUGCCGUCUUGUUUUUUCAAUUUUCUUUUGGCUUGGUGCUGCUGCGUGCCGCUCAUGUUUCAGCUUUUGGUAGUUGAGUUUGGACUGCAGUCGUACAGUUGCCGUUGGAUUGUGAAGUUUGUUGCAUUGCGGGAUUUGUGGCAUUGAAGAUUACGCAACAUGAUUGAUUGUAUUUCCAUUUCGUUGUCGCACAUUGCCAACUAUUGAUACCAUGGUAUUGCUGGCUUGCAGGUAGCUUGACACUCAUGCACUUGAUUCAAGGAUUAUGAUGGUGUGUGAAGGGUCGAGUAGUGAUCGAGACAAACGGCAUAGCAGGUGGAUCACUGGCUUAUGGAAUGGUUUUGACAGUUCUGCUUGAACUGAUGUGAAUAUGGUUGGUUGUUGUACAAGGUUGAGUUGCUAGGUUUGGUGUCAAGUAUUUGAUUGCCUCAGCACGCUGAAGAUUUUCUAAGCAAUUUGGAUCAGCUGACAAGUGAUUACUGCAGUAUCUUCAUCAACAAAACGAGUGGUUCUACCCUAUUAAACAUCUGGAAAAGUAGACCGAGUAAGCUUCGACUACACAUAUAAGACUUCACCGCUGUAUCCGCUUGUGCAAACUCAAGCAAAAGAUCUGCCACUUUUUCAAGGUACUCUUUUGCAACUUAUGCAUGCAAUGAUGAAACCAUGUGGGAAAGUAAUCCAGAUGAAGUAGCACUACUUGUCUAGCAUUUAGAACACCUGAACCAGACAGUACACCGGACGCCGUCUGAGAUGCGAUCCCAGAUGUGGAGGCAGCUCCUUCACUAGAACCAAAAGUCCCUAAUUUCUUGGGAGCAACUCUUUGAGACACUCUAGCAUCGGAGUCAAGAUUUCCGUUUUCCCUUCCACGUUGAGAAACAUCUGCAACUUCUGCCAUCAAAAAGUCCAGUUCACCAUUUGCUUUCUUAUCAGGUGCGUGCAACAAAGGAACUACACUCUCAUGUUUUUCUAACGUUGAAAACUGAUGUGCAUAUUCAAGUUGUGCAGAUAAACGAAUAGAUGGGAGCUCUUUCUUCAACAAGCUAAGAAGAGGCCUAACUUGCUCUUGCUGGGUUACUCCUGUUCAAGUGUUGCAAAGUUCUGCAGUAUUCCAUGACAGGAUGAAAGCGGCUCUGCAGGUGAGAUUGGUUGCAAAUGAUCAAAUGCAGGUUGAAUUUACUGGUUACGGUCGCAGCAUGCCGAUGGCUUUACAUUGAUGCAGCACACUUUUUGCAUUAGUUUCUGGUUAUUCCGCUGAUGUUUCCCAUGCCACUCACUUUGGGAAGUUUUGUUGUACUGUAAGUGACUUAAAACCAAUUCAGCUGCUUUAGAAAGCCUCUCUUUAGCAUCAACAGAAUCCAACAUUGAUAAUUGUUUUUCAAGACUUAUCUCAAAGCUAGCAACAAAUAUAUCAGCCCACUUAUGAACAGGAACAGUCUCCAAAAGAACUUCUGUCCUUCCACCAAUACUUUGUUUCUGCUCCAGAACAGAUAUAAGUUCCACGGCAUUUGCUUUAAAUUGGCGUGAUAACAUUAUGAAAUCCGGGUCAUGCUCCACCUGUUCCAUCGCUGUCCUAGUCAUCUAAAGGGAAGAGAUUUUUGCAGUAUGGCUAAUACCGGUCACGGCGCAGACUCCUUCACGGCCUGAUGGGUUAGAAUGAAUUGCAGCAAAGUGUUGCAAUAUAUGACAAAUUGGAUGUGAUUCUGCAGGUGAGAUUCCAACUGCUUGAUGAUUUUGGGUGUCAAGCCCUAUGUGAAGCUGCUGAAUGGCUCUUGCCUCCUUUGUAAGCCAUGAAUGCAAAUGGUGUAUGCGAUUGUUCCCAGCAUGCCACCAAAUGACCAAAUCUUAAUUUGAAGCACAUGCACACAUGGGAAGCUCAAGGACCAUGAAGGAAAAAUCAACCUGAGAAUUAGACAUAGGAUAGGGAUUCCGGGAUGAGAAGGGUUUGAGUUGACUUUGGUCAAAGUUGACCAAAAAGUCAACUGUUGACCAAAGUCAACAAUUGGUCAACACAUCUUUCUUUGUAUUUUUCCUGUAAUGAUCAUGUAAUGAACGAAAUUUCUUCACUUGAAUGAACUUGGAUUUGUAUUUGGCCUGAAUGGCUUUUGAAAUGAAUUUGAAAUUAUCUUACAUGAAUGAAUGGAUUUUGAAUA